rnacentral:lncRNA from 1 species
GUCCUGGUGGUCCUCUCUUCGGUGGCUCAUCACCUGGCUGUCCUGGUUUGUGCUCUGGUGGCGGCUUCUCAAACCCUGGAUCCUCAGUGUGCUCUUGGGGUGGCUUUUGUCCCUUCGGGGGCUCAUUGUGCCCUUGUGGUGGCUUUUGUCCCUUUGGAGGCUGAUUGUGCUCUUGAGGUGGCUUUUGUCCCUCGGGAAUUUUGCCUUCCACCUCUAGCAAGUGGUGUUCAUUGUGCGGUGGCUUGUGCUUGGGUGGAGGCCUCUCUCCUUUGCCCUUGAGGGGCUCGUUAUGUUGGGUUGGGGGCUUCUUCUCUGGGAAUGGGAAAGGCUCUUCCUUGUUAAGUGGGGUUGGAGUCUUGUGAUUUGGUGGGUUGUGGGAAGGAGGCUUUUGAAUUGGGGGUUUCAGGGCAAGAGAAGGAGUUGAAGUGGUGAAAACCACCACUCCGACAAGAAAAACUAGCAAGUAAUUGGGAGACAUCUUUAGACUCUUAUGUUCUAGGAUGGUUGGAAACUAGUAGAAGUGAGUGGCUUUUUAUAGUGAUGGGGCAGCACUGUGGUCAUGGCACAUGUCACCAUGCACUUGGAUUUUUUUUUAAUGAAAUGUGUGGACUCGUUGAAUUUUGUAUGGUUUGGUUUUUAUUAUGUUUGUACAAUUUUAUAUAUGAGGAGGGGUCCAUUUAGGGUCCUAUUUGAGUUGAAAUGUUUGACAACUUUUACGUUCAAACCAGAUAGGGGACCUGUAGGAAAGCUAAAUUACACGACUUAGCGUUCACAACCCACAUGGAGUCAGUGACCUGGUACUCUAGCAUCACUGAUCGAUAUUAUAUUAGAGUUUUAACUUUAGAAAGAACAAGACAAAUGGAAAAUAUAGCAACUUGCUUUUGAAAGUUUUUCUUUUAAACAAGUUGGAGAGAUUUUUACCAUCACACGGGAUAGUACACCACGUGUCGUUAUAUAAACGGUGAGCUAAGUGUGUUAAAAAGUUAAUAACUUUAAAAAAAAAUAUUCCACCACUUACAUAAAAUCACAUGAUAUAUCAUUCGUGUUCUUGUCAUAUCUAAAAAUUUCUCUACAAGUUAGAGAAAACAAUGUUACUUUCUUUUCGAAAUAAGUUCGAACUAAAUGGCCGUCUAUAUUCCUGCAUAUAGCCGACUGUAUAUGCACAAAUACUUUUCAAGUUUUCUCUUCCAUAAACUAGAAAUAUUGACUCAAAUAUUUUACGUUAAUGCUAUAAAAAUAUUGAGCUAAUGAUUUAGUAAAACAAACAAUCCUUUGUAAAGUUAUUCACAUACAAAUUAUAUAUUAGUCCAUCGAAUUGCAGUAUAUAUCUCGAAUAUAAAAGAGAUUCACUUCAGCAAAUUUAGAGACUUAUACCAUGUUAACAGACUAUAGCGUAGACCAAAUUGUUGUAAGAAAUGGUACUCUUUCUUUUUGUUCUAUUCCAACGAUAUAUAUGAUUUUACUUAAUCUAAAUGACAGAGACGUGGACUCGAGUGUGAAACACAAAACAUAUUCUUCCUUUUUCAAGCCGAAGCUCAUUGAUUGGAUGAUAAUUAGUGCCGCCUUCAAUUGUUUAAAGACACGGUUUAUCAAGCUGUGACAAGAUUGAGUGUGGCUUUUGGUUCUUUUUCACGUAGUGAUUCAUGAUGCUGUCUUAUUAUAUGCUAUCCAACAUUUAGCGGCUCCCAUAAUCACUUUAAGGAAAUAAAUUAUGGAAACUAAAUUCACUUUUGGAAAAAGCUAGCAUGAUAAAUUAAUUGGAUAAAUUCAUCAGUCCACAGAUUUUGCUUGUUUCUACGAAGAUCUUCUGUAUUCGGUGGAAAGAUGGACGAUAUUUUACCGACUAUAUAUUUUAUUUGUUUUAAGUUUUCUUGUUAAUUACUACUAAUCCCUAUAUCAGCGAGCCCGCAAUGGUCUUUCUCCUUUUCGCACUUAGGAUGACGACCUGUAUUUAAUGUUGAUAUAAACGACACUAAAUCGUAAGUUGUUUUGGUGCAUAGUUUAUGUUGCUAGAAAGCAGCUAUCUAGUUAAAGCAGAGGCUGGCAUGAUUUCACGUAAACGACAUUAAUCACUUUCAAGAACCGGUGUCAAGAUUAUAAGAGUUGAGUGUAUCUGUGGUACUUAAGUGUUUUACAAGUUUUGUCAAGAGCAUUGAAAUCUUUUCCUUUCUGUUAUGUGAAUUGCGAAUGAUUGAAGAGAGAAAAUCUUAGUACCCAUUUAAAUGGAGGAAUUCCAAAUCUAUGGAUUUUUUGAUAAAAUUAUAAGAUUAAUUAAAUUGGUUGUUUCAACUAUUACAAUCAUUAUAUGCAACUAUUUGAACAAGUGAAGAAAGAAAACAAGUGAGUUUUAAAUAAUUCCUUGCAUAUUGUUAUUUCAAAUUCAUUUAAACGUACUACUUUGUGUAUAGAUGUAAUCUUAUUUGUCAAUUCCAAAACGUUUCUUUUAACUUCUUCCAUGCAAAGAGAGAGCAUUUUGAUACUCCUCUUCCAUUCUUAAAGGGUUUCCACAACUCGAAGCCUCUGGGCCAGUCAAAAAAUGCAGAGAAGUUAAAAGUCAAAUGGUACAUGUAUCUUCCGUGAUAUAGAUGCAACAUGAACGAAUUUUCCUUUUGUUUGUUUUCGGGUUUAUAUGGGUGCGUUUGCAUGUGCAUGCAUAUAUAUGUUGUCGGUGUAGUGACAUUGUGUGAAAACAUGAAAGCAGUUGUAUGAGUCAUGUGGCUGCUUUUGCUACAGGAUCUGAAGAAAAUUCUCAGAGUCACCUCGCCAUGUAAGGUUACUAAUUUAUUUAUGCUAUAACAUUUAUGUCCUUAUUCAAAAUUAUAUUCUCUAGGUCCCUAAUAUUCAUCAAUUAUGUUAUUCAUGUAGAUGGUUUAGUAGCACAUUGGGAUAGUGUCACACUAGGGUUUCGUAGCACAUUGGGAUAGUGUCACACUCUGGUUUAGUAGCACAUUGGGAUAGCGUCACACUAGGGUUUAGUAGCACAAUGUUAUUCACAUAGAUGGUUUAGUAGCACAAUGGGAUAGUGCCACACCACAAAGUUCAUGAUGAAGAGAUUUUUUAUUUGUCGCCGCUUCACCUAGAGGUCACAAAUCAACUUAUUGGUUAUUAAUAGAUACUUAUUAAGACUCAUUUAGUUUAAUUUCAUCUUACAUUAUCGUCACCACUACCAAUUUCAUCUCUAUAUUAUAGUGAUAUCAAAUUAAACAGCUCUUAAAGGGUACCCGUUAACAAUCUAAUGGAUUGAUUAGCCGCAUCUAACUUCACCAAGUAGCUAGAGUUAUCAUAACUUACAACUAUAACACAUGCAUACUUAUUUAUUAAGGAAAACUAAUGAAAAUGACUUGAAAACUUUAAGUUUUAAUCAAAAUGACAAAAAUGUGUUGUAAGUGAAUAGUACCAUAAGUGACUUUUUAAAGUAAAAUAUUAUUUUAGUUAAAAGCGAAUAGUACCGAAAGUGUUUCAUUAAAACUCUCUAUUUAUUAUAUUAAUCUUAAGUUCCAAAUUAAUCAUUUAUCAUGUUAUUUAUACAGCCUACAAAAUUACAUGAAUUAGUAACAUAGUCACAAUACAAAGUUUCUGAAGAUUCUCUUGGGCAAUUUUGUACCUAGCCUUUCAACGUGUGGGACAUCCUGUUGACUCUUUGUAUAACUACCCUAGUCAGUGAGACGAAGCCAGAUUUUUAUGCAUUUCACAACAUAAAGCAUAACAUAGUAUCAAGGCAUGCAUGUGGACACAAUUAAGUAUUCCGUUAUAUUUUGCAGGAGGUUUUGUACUGGUCCUCGCAUACAUGUUCACGAGCUGUAUAUAAAGUCGACAUUAUGAUGAGAUCCCUGGUUGAUCUCUGCGGCUCCGCUGACAUGUUCUUCACAGCUUAGGGUAUUGACAAAGAUAAAAUAUAGUUGCUUUUUCUUUAUUUUUAUACAAGAGCUAGUGUGGUGAAAUUGAACUCUAGCACAUCCGGUUCACAUGAAAUAUUUUUAACCAAAUAAGCUAUGUGUUUAUACCAUAUUUAGGACCUCGUACUUAGAUCUCGUACAAAUACUCGGAGAACUUAAAUGUAAUUAUGUGAUAAAGGAAUGGGCAAAUAUGUAAAAAGUGAGGAGUCCUUAUUCUAUAAAACGACUUCUCACCCUCACAAUUAGGAGAGGCCAAUUCCUAGGCUCUCUCACCCCCUCUCAAAGCUCUCACUCUCAGAGCUCUCUCUCCCUCAGAAAUAUAUUAGUGUGGACGUAGCCCAAACCUUGGGGUGAACCACGAUAUACCUUGUGUUAUUUACAUUUCAUGUAGAUUCACUGUCGGAUUUACGUUGUUCCAAGACCUCCGGUUUUGUGCACCAACAUUUGGCGCCGUCUGUGGGAAACGACACAGAAAGUUAUGUCGGUUCUCUCUCAAUUUUUCACCUCCGCCAUGGAUCUGCAAAAUCUGCAGAAACAUCAAACCAAAAUCCCAGUCCCAUCUCUCUCUCUUUCUCUAGAAACCCAAAAAUGGGUAAGCAGAACAGACACAUACUCUAGCUCUCUCUCUCUCUCUCUCCUUUCUCCAUUAAAACCAUUCAACACACUCUCUCUCUACAUUUUUGGAAAGAGAAAGUGGACAAAGAUCGAAAUUUUUUCGGGUUUACUGAGAUGCUUCGUUCAGAACUACGACUGGGGGAAGAGGAGACAAGAUUCCCAAGUGGCCAGGCUAUCUGCUUUUAACUCUGGUUCUGGGAUCAACCCAGAAAAAUCAUGUGCUGAAUUUUGGAUCGGAACCCAUGGGUCCAGACCUUCCUUUCUGAUUCAUAAGGGCUCGCUCCAUCUCUCCAACUUCCCCUACCAGCUCAAACGACGUCGUCUAGCUCCACCAUUUCCCCUUCGUUAUCGUUUCCUCAUCCCACUCCUGGUCUCGCCGUGAGCUUAAGCUCCGCCCCUGGAGCUCCCCCGCCUCCACCCGCGUCUUCGCUUUCCUCAAUCGCACCCUCACAGAUUCCUCCGGCGACCAAUCCAUCGCGAAUGUCGUCGUCUCCGGUGACACCUCCCGCUUUCUGUACACUCUAAAAGGAGGGCUACGGUCCGCGUUCCUUGUGGCGCGCGCGAUCAAGGAAGCAGUUGAUCGUGGCGAGCCUGAUGAAAAAUAGCAAAAUACCAACAGAAAAAGCAGGAGAGAGAGAAAGAGAUAGAAGAGAAGGAUGAUCUGUCCAUAUGGUGGUGGGUGCAUUGUGGUUUGGUCCAGGAGAGAUUUGAUCUGAGGGUUGAAGAUAACCCAGCUUUGGCAGCUGCAGUGAGAGCAUGAGGUGUUGUUUGUGUCUUCAUCUGGGCUCCUGAGGAGGAAGGCCCUUAUUAUCCUGGAAGGGUUUCAAGAUGGUGGCUAAAACACAGCUUGGCUCAUCUUGAUUCCUCCUUGAAAAGUCUCGGCACUUUUCUCAUCACCAAAAGAUCCACUGAUAGUUUUUCUUCUCCCCUUGAAGUUGUUGUUUCCACUUCUCCCCCCUGAGAGAAUUAUUUCAGUUCAUGUUAACCAAUUAUUUCAUGUUAACCGAAGUGUGGAUCUUAAGGCCGGCAGAAUGCUCUCUUUGCUCUUGGAAAUUCCCAGAUUCUCUUCUUCUCAGACCAAAGGAAGGUGACUUUUUGCGGGUUAGGAACAAUUCCUUUUACUCAUGUGUUUUGAUGGGCACGAGGAGUGAGAAUGGAUGGGCACGACCAGACUGUCCAAGAAAAGCAAAAAAGGUGCAAGCUGUCACCAAUAAGUCAUAUUCGUUGGUUCAAGCAAGGCAAAAGCAACAAAGGUGCAGAGAUCAAGAAAAGCAGAAAAGCAGUGGGGAACAAAGCAGAAAAGAGAAAGCAAAAGUGAGGAAUAAACACCCCACCAAAAUAAUGUGAUUUACUUUUGUUAUUUCUGAAUGAUGUAAUUUAUUUUCCGUAUCUUUUGGAGAUAUCUGUAUAAACCCCAUCAGAAGGUAAAAGAACGGCAAAGCCCAAAAUAAAUGGGCUGGAAUAUUGUGUGGAGAGCGAAGGCCCAUAAGCCUAAAAUAGCACCAACCAGGUCAUCAAAAGUACACCCAGUACUCCACAAUUAUUCGGCAACCCGCCGCUAUUACCAUCAACCAGGUGAUCAAAAGUACGCCCAGUACUCCACAAUUAUUCGGCAACCCGUCGUUAUUAUCGCCAACCAGGUGAUGAAAUAUACAACCCGUACUCUAAUAUCAUUUGACAACUAGCCAUUCAUGCCACCAACCAGGUGAUGAAAUGUACAACCCGUACUCUAAUAUCAUUUGGCAACUAGCCAUUCAUGCCACUAACCAGGUGAUGAAAUGUACAACUCGUACUCUCCUUCAUGCCACCAACCAGGUGAUCAAAAGUACGCCCAGUACUUCAAAACAUACAUGAGCAUUACUCAUGUCAAUCAUACAUAAACAUUCAUGAGCAUUACUCAUGUCAAUCAUACAUAAACAUUCAUAAGCAUCACUCAUGUCAACAUCUAUGAGCAUCACUCAUGUCAAUCAACAUAAACAUUCAUGAGCAUCACUCAUGUCAAUCAACUUCAAAAGCUUCAUUUACAAAAGCUCUAGCUUCAAAAACUUCAUUUACAGAGCUCUAGCUUCAAAUUCAUUUACAAAAGCUCUAGCUUCAAAAGCUUCAUUUACAGAGCUCCAGCUUCAAAAUCUUCAUUUACAGAGCUCCAGCUUCAAAGCUUUACAUGCAAAGCUUCACCUACAAAGCUUCAGUGCAGGGUAUACAAAUACCACCUCCGAACAACCGCCACUUCGGCCCAUACAUGGAUUCAAUUUGAAGUCUCCAGCCAAUAGACUCUAUUGACCGAAGACUUGGGGGACUAAACUAUACACCAUAUAUUGGGCCUCAACUGGGCCUUAUGAAAAAUACUUGCAAGACUCUCUCACCAUCAUUAGAGAGCAUCAACUUUAGCAUAUUAUUCAUGUAUUGAGAAACGAGCCAUUAUUCUAUAAAAGGGACUCCCUCACCAUCAUUAGAGAACAUCAACUCUAACACAUUAUUCAUGUAUUGAGGAGCGAGCCCUUAUUCUAUAAAAAGGGCUCACUUACCAUCAUUAGAGAGCAUUGCUGCCUAUUGAGCAACCGCCUUGCCGCGAGCAUCAACUCUAGCCCAUCAUUCAUGUAUUGAGGAGCGAGCCCUUAUUCUAUAAAAGGGACUCCCUCACCUUCAAACGCCACAAAGCAGAGCCAACCAAGGUAACAUAAGCCACAAGCCAAGCAGCCUCGCAGCGUAUGCUACUUCUAGUUGAACAUCAUUUCAGAUUGAGCACCGCCUCAUAUCGAGCAUCAGUUCAAGACAACAUCUAGUUACUUCGGCCCACACAUGAACUGAAUUUCAAGUCUCCAGCCAAAAGACUAUCUUGACUGAAAACUUGGGGGACUACUGUUUAUACCAUAUUUAGGGCCUCGUAUUUAGAUCUCGUACAAAUACUCGGGGGACUUAAAUGUAAUUAUGUGAUAAAGGAAGGGGCAAAUAUGUAAUAAGUGAGGAGUCCUUAUUUUAUAAAAUGACCCCUUACCCUCACAAUUAGGAGAGGCCAAUUCCUAGGCUCUCUCACCCCCUCUCAAAGCUCUCACUCUCAGAGCUCUCUCUCCCUCAGAAAUAUAUCAGUGUGGACAUAGCCCAAACCUUAGGGUGAACCACGAUACACCUUGUGUUAUUUACAUUUCAUGCAGAUUCACGGUCGGAUUUACGUUGUUCCAAGACCUCCGGUUUUGUGCACCAACACUAUGAAUUUCUUAUAAUAUUAUUAUUAUAUAUUGUUAAAAUUUUAGAAAGGCGAGCCUAAUGGUUUAACACUAAUAUUGUUCCCAAGUUAAUAAUUUGUAGCUUAAGAGCUGUAAGAUUUUUUUCUAAAGACCUUGGCGUAUUUAGGAUAAAACUUUUUGUAUUUAAUUUGUAAUAUUUUGUCAAAUCUCCAAUGUGGGAUUUCCACGCUACCUGACAUGGAACCAUAUCUUCAGUCUGCCACACGUGAAGAGAACUUCCAUAUUGGGAAUGGAAAGACAAGCACGUGAAUGUUGAAUAUAAGUCCCACAUCGGAGAAUUAAUAUAUAAGUAUAUGAGUUCACUCCUAAUAAUAUAGAUGCCUUUGUGAUAAAACUCAACAGCCAGUAAUAGGUGAUUAAGUUAGGAUAAUAUUGGUGUGGUUAGGAGUGGGCCAGUGGCCAGUCUCCUUGAUGAUCGGACAUGGUACCAAAGCAGGUUUGAUUAUGAGUCAUCUGGGUGUCAUGCUUGAGUUAUUGUGCUUAAUGUAACACCAUUAAUCUCUGAUGUGGGAUCGGUUGCACUUGUGGCCCACUAUAUUUUGAUCACAUGGGAGGGGGCGUGUUGAAUAUAAGUCUCACAUCGGGAGAUUAAGUAAAUAAGGUAUAAUAAGUGUGUGAAUUCACUCUUAAAAACACCGAGGCCUUUUUUGAUAAACCUAAUACUUAGUAAUAGGUGAUGAAGAUGAGACAAUAUUGGUGUGGUUAGGGGUGGGCCUGUGGCCUGUUUCUCUGAUUAUUUGACAAUGAAUAUCACGCACUCAAAACAAACCAAUAAUGGGAUCCAGAAAAAGUACAAACUGUUGUAGGCCUAUUUGAUUGAACUAAUCUAAGGGAUUACAGAGAGAUGGGGUUGGCGGUAGCAAGAUGGAAGAGAGAGAUUUAAUUGUGAGGUGUGUGUUGUAUCACCCCUAUUGUGCCUUUAUUUAUAGUAGUAGGAUAGGCAAAACCUUACCCUUUUAGGAUUACAACUCUUAAUAGGUAAUCAACUCCUAAUAGGAAUAUAAGAGAUAUUUCUAGAUCUACUAGGGUUUACACAAUCACAUUCCUAUUCUAAAUAUGACUGCAACACUCCCCCUUGAAUGUGUAAAUACUCAACAAACCAUCGCAUUAGAUCUUCAGCAAAUAAGGUAGAAUAAUUGAUGAAGUAAUCGGCAUGAUGGGUGAACGCGAGUCUCAAAUUUAAAGAAAGUAUGCAUUGGUGGUAAAACUUAGAAAACCUCGCUAUGGUAAAACCUAAGACAUGGGGAAAACCCAUAGACUAAGGAGAAAAGUGAAAAGUAUGAAUAAUGUCCAAAACAAAUGUCAAACAGGACGAAAGUAGUGAACUCAAUGGAGUAUGAUCAUCCUAGGAUGGGUGCCUUGUCAAAAGUGCGUUAAGUAGCAAAAACGCAGUGGGAAAAAUGCUCCUAAUCAUAGGAAAAAGAGCACAUUAAGAUCAAGUGAGUAUGCCUCAGGAUACUCCCCCUGAGUUAGAAAUAACUUCCAAAUAAGAAAACUGCAAGCGAUUCAACUCAGAUAAUUUACGCAUACCGAUUCCUUGGACGAGCUUCUGAAAAGUAGACUUGGGCAAUGACUUGAUGAAGAGAUCGGUCAUGUUGUCUUGGGAACGUAUUUGCUUGACUGCAAUGUUUUGAUGUUGUUUCUGGUGAGAGUAAAAGAACUGCAACGCUAUGUGCUUGGUGUUGUCUCUCUUGAUGUAUCCCUUCUUUAACUACUUGAUACAUGUUGCAUUGUCUUCAAAGAUUGUCGUAGGAACGUCAACAACAAAAGUAAAACCACUACUGCUUCGAAUAUGUUCCAUAACUGCUCUCAGCGAAAAACACUCACACGAUGCUUCAUGCAGGGCGAGAAUCUCAGUAUGGUUCGAAGAAGUCGCAACUAGCGUUUGCUUGGUAGACCUCCAAGAUAUAGCGGUGUCUCCAAAGGUAGAGACAUAGCCCGUUUGACAACGUGCCCUAUGUGUGUCAGACAGAUAUCCAACAUCUACGUAACCAACAAGAAUAGAAUCAAUCCGAGAACCAUGAGAGGCGGCAACACUCAAAGAUUCACGGGUAUAGAACAAGCUCAAAUAUGUAGUACCCUUAAGGUAGCGAAAAAUGUCUUUAACACCAUUCCAGUGUCUGUGUGUGGGUGUAUUGUUGUAUCUAGCCAAAAUAUUAACAACGAAGGAGAUGUUGAGUCUAGUGCAUUGAGCUAAGUACAAUAGAGCCCCAAUUGCACUUAGGUAAGGAACUUCGGGUUCCCAAAUCUUUUCCUCAUCCUCCUUUGGAUGGAAGGGAUCUCAUUUAGCAUAAAGUUUGAAUGGCCAUAGACGUACUUGAAGACUUCGCUUUAUCCUCAUUAAAACGUCGCAACAAUUUUUGGGUGUAGUUCGAUUAAUGUACUAGGAUUCCAUCUGAACAAUGCUAGAUCUCCAGACCGAGGCAAUAUCAAGUUUUCCUAAGAUCUUUCAUCUCAAAUUAUGAUUUCAAGUGUGUAGCAAUUUCCUCAAGCUCUAUAGGAGUUCCAAAGAGGUUCAUGUUGUCAACAUAAACUACAACAAUUGCAAAUCCAGAAUGUGGCUUCUUUAUGAACACACAUAGGCAUAAUUCCUUGUUCACGUAACCCUGACUUGUCAAUUAUUCACUCAGACAGUUAUACCAUAUCCGCCCGGAUCGUUUCAAUCCGUAGAGUGACCUAUUCAACCUAAUUAAGAGAGUGUUUCUUGGUCUAUAACUAUUUGAACCAAUCCAUGGAAGUCCUUCUGGAACUUUCAUGUAUAUUUUCUUAUCUAGAUCCCCAUAGAGAUAUGCAAUUACCACAUCCAUAAGCUGCAUAUUCAAUUUUUUGGAAACUACCAAAUUUAUAAAGUAGCAGAACGUUAUAACAUCCAUUAUGGGGGAAUAAGUCUCCUCGUAAUCAAUCCCAAGGCAUUGAGAGAAGCCUUAUGCUACAAGGCGUGCUUUGUAUUGCACUAUUUCAUUAUUCUCAUUACGCUUCCUCACGAAAACCCACUUGUAGCCAAGGGGCUUCACAUGUGGUGGUGUAGGAACGAUAGGCCAAAAUACUUUACGUUUCGCGAGCGAAUUGAGUUCGACCUGGAUUGCUUGUUUCCAGUUUGACCAAUCUGUUCUACGUUGGUAAUCAUCAACGGAACGUGGUUCAAUGUCAUCGCUAAGCAUGAUGUCAGUAGUUACUGCGUACGCAAGUGCAUCGUCAACAAUCAUCUCAUUCUGAUUUCAAACCUCAUCCAAUACUGCGUAGUGAACCAAAAUCUCAUGAUUCUCGAGAAGCCGGGUUGUCUCGUCUAAGACAUUGUCGUAAUUUAGAAUAACCUUAUGCGUUGGAACGGAUGAGUAAGCAACGGUCGGAUUCAAACUAGGGUCACUAGUUGGUGCCGUUUUCCUCUUCCAGGGUUGUGAAUUCUUUAAACCAAAGGGUCUGCCACACUUCAGGGUUGAAGCAGAUGAUUAGCUAGCCACCAAUUUACAGUGCCACGUGGAAAGUGCGGCCUCCCCACCUUCGAGGACGAUCCAACCUUCCCAGCCGGUUGUUGACGUACGCGAGGUACAUCUAUCCUUGCAGGUGCGUUUGCAACGGGUAUAUGUGAUCUUGUCACCUUAGCUAGAUCAUUAAAACAAAUGGCAUGCUCUAAGCAAUGCUCUGAAGAUCUAUAAUUUGUUGCACCUCAGUUUCAGACUGGGCAGUGCAAGGAUCUAAAUGAGACAUAGUGGGAGCAUACCAUGACAAUUCGCGGUGUUCUCUAGGAACGUUAGCAUGCUUAUCUCCCCUUAACGACGGGAAGACUGUCUCACAAAAGUGACAAUUCACAAAACGUACGGUAAAGAGGUGUCAUGUCAAGGGUUCUAAAUAGCGAACAAUUGAUUGCGAAUCAUAACCAACAUAGAUUCCCAUUUUUCUCUGAGGACCCAUUUUGGUACAUAGUGGCGGCUCUAAUGGCACAUAAAUUGUGAACUCAAACACCCAUAAAUGCGAGAUGUCGUGCUCGUAACCAACUGUAACGGUGAAUGAUCUUGGGUAGCAUUGGACCUCAGGCAGGCCAAUAUAGCUGCGUGCAAUAUUGCAUAACCCUAGGUAGAUACCGGCAAUUUGGUUCUCAUAACCAAAGUCUGAGCUAUCAAUUGAAUGCGCUUUAUGAAACCUUCUGCCAGGCCUUUUUGAGUGUGAACAUUGGGUACAAGAGGUUCCACAUCAAUCCCUACUAACAUGUAAUAAUCAUCAAAAGUCUGUGACGUAAACUCUCCAGCGUUAUCCAGUCGAAUCGACUUAAUCGGAUAAUCAGGGUGGUGAGCCCUUUACUUAAUAAUUUGUGCUAGGAGUUUAGCAAAUGCAACGUUGCUUGUAAACAACAGGCAAACAUGUGACCAUCGUGUCGAUGCAUCAACCAACACCAUAAAGUAUCUAAAUGGUCCACAUGUUAGUUGGAUAGGUCCACAAAUAUCCCCUUGAAUCCUCUGAAGAAAUUUGGGGGGGGGGGGUCUUGAAUGAUCCUUUGUAAUCAAGAGUUGAGUAUUCAACUUCCAUAAAGACCACGCUUUGCAUGGCAGGAAUCCAAUAUAAGGAGGUAACCGAUGCUAAUGUGAUGAUUUAAGGAUAUGGCGCAUCAUGUCACGUUCGGGAUGUCCCAAAUGGUCAUGCCAAAACAGUAUAGUGCUCUGGAAGUAAGGCAUAGGGCUGGCCACAUGAUAGGCUUCUAUGCUGCGAAUGGUUGUGAUGUACAACCCACUCGGGAGACAUUCCAACUUUUCGUGAAUACUCUUCUGGCCAUAUUUGUACGAAGUAAUACAAAGAAAUUCAGAACCAUUAUCUUCAGUGGUUUCAAUAUGAUAUUGAUUAUCUCGAAUAUCUCUAAAACUCAUAAACGUUCUUCCGGAACGUGGAGAAUAGAAUGCCUCUUUAAUGGUUAAGAUUGUACCAUUGGACAACAUGAUACAUGCCUUUCUGCAUCCUUCAAUCAUGUUGGAUGGACCUGAAAAAGUUGUCAGAGGUGCUUUCUUGGGUAUUAAGUUAGUAAAAUAACGUCGCUCACGCAAGAUUGUGUGCAUGGUAGCACUAUCAACUAGACAACUAACUUCCCCACUAGACAUACCUAGAAAUAAAUUGAUUGAAUUGGUCACAUGCAUAAAUAUAAUCCAUUCAUUCAAUUAAGAAAUUCGAGAAAUAAUAUCCAUCAAAUAACAAUCCAUAAUUCAAAACAAACCAAAACCAAAACCAAACAAAUUAUUCAAAAGACUUAGAAAAAUUGUUCAAAAUUAAAUCAUAAACCUAAAAAAAUAGGGGAGAGGGGCCGGCCACUCCUAGUGGGUUCAGCCACUAGGGGUAAACACUUUAAAAACAUGUCUAAUGUAUUCGUCCAUAGGCAUGACCGCCUCAUGAAAAUCCGAUAUCUCCAUUGAUGUAGUAGCAUCUUCCGGAUGUUCCACAUAUGCAAAGUUAGACUCACAACGGAAAUGAUACUUAGCAAUAGCCUCAGGGUUAGCUCGGCAUACACGUGACCAAUGAUCAUUUGAUCCACAACGAUAACACAUAUCCAUUUCAGUAGAAGUCGAUUGAGCAGGAGUUUUUCCCUUGUUUUUGAAGUUCAGGGUUUUAGGCACAAGGGGUGAACGCUGCAGGGUCACAUUUCAUCCCUUGGGGCUGGCACUAUAUUGACCUUGGGCCCGUGGUUGGGCUUGAUGCCCAUUGCCACAGCCACAAUAGCUUUUUUGUCGUUUGUGGCUGCUAAGGUUCGAGUCAGUUGGUCGAGCUUGAUGAUUCUUCAUCAAAAGAUGGUUCUGCUUUUUAGCGAGAAAUAGUACAGAGAUCAAAUCUGAAAAUUUGGUGAAUUUAUGUGCCCUAUAUUGUUGUUGUAGACAAUAUUGGUGGCAUGGAAGGUCGAAUAUGUCUUUUCCAGGAGAUCUGAUUUGGUUGGUUCCACUUUACAAAAUUUCAGCAAUGAUCGGAUUCUACAAACUUCAGAGUUGUAUUCAUUCACGAACUUAAAGUCUUAGAAGAGAAGAUGCUGCCAAUCGUGUCUUGCUUCAUGCAAGUAUAUGUCUUUCUGGUGAUCGAAACGGUAGACCAAAGCAAGCCAGAUGGUGCGUGAGUCCUCCUCAGCGAGGUACUUGGUCUGCAGAGCAUCAUGGAGUGUCUUCGAAUGAAGAUCAUCACAGUAGCUUUCUCAGCUUCGUCGACAUGUUUGCUGUCGGUAAGUGCCUCGAUGGUGGCUCUAAUGCCUUUUUGCAGUGAGAUGAAGCUUCACUUCUUAAAUCCACUUCGAGUAGUUUCUUCCACAGACUUCCAGAGCGAUGAAAUCGAGCUUAUUCAAGUUCGACAUGCCCCUAAAACAGAGGGUACAAAAAAAACGUGAUUAGUCAUAUGGUGAUCCAUAGACAUAUAUCAUAGAAUAUUUCAGGUUUUAGAGACAUGUAUUGGUUUAAUUUAUGCAUGAAAACUGCAGGUUUCAUGUGGUAAGUUUUGAAUGAAAACUUUAGGUUUCAAAGGCACUAAAUAUGAAACUACAGGUUCAAUUUAGUUUUAUGAACGAUUAGUUCAUAAAGGAAAGGUUCCUGCAAGAAACACAAAAUGCAAUAUUCUGAUUUAAGUGUAGUGGAUUUGAGGUUCUUUGGGAACUCAAGUGUGAAAGCUUUGUUACUACAAAAAUGUGUCAACGGUUCAAAGUAUAUAAAAAUAAAUUAUUGAAUCGUUAAUGUCCAAAAGUGAUCUUCAGGUCAAUAAUUUUGGAUUCAUUAUCGUAUUUAAUGGACUGCAAGUCACUUUUAAUUAAUUACCUAAAUCGGGACCAAAUAUGGUCGAUCAUGGAAGCAAGAUAAUAUAGGGGAGAGGCCCUGAAGGUUCGGCUGCUACAUAUGGGGCUCAGGCCGAGAGGGUGUAGGGAGCCCAGCAACCAAGGCUAUUGGCUUUGGGUUGAAAUUGGGACAUGGGGCAGGCCUAGCAAAAGCUAGCCUUUAAGUUGAUCCAGGUAAGCCCAACAAAGUUGGGUUUCAUGUUUUGGGUUCGGUGUAAAUUAAGCCCAGCAACAUAGGGCUACUGGCAAGCAGGCCGAGACUAGGAUAAAGCCCAGUGAGCAUAUGGGCUGCUUCAGGCGAGUCAGGUCAUAGGCAACAAAGGAGCCCAACAACUCUGGGUUGUUGGGCCAAAGGACUCAGACAACAGGCCAAGAAAAAGUCUACAGGUUUUCUUGGUUGGGCUUAGGGAUUGCAUGCUCUAUAAAACUGAGUAGGCCGAAAGCCUGGGGUCCAGGUUAGCACAACAAAGCCCAAAGGGCUACUACCGCGAUGUCCAAGGUGUUAAACGACACUGUGCCAUGUCAUACUCCACACUGUUGUGCUUCAGGUCAGCGGUGGUGGCUCAGCGGAGCCACGGUGGUGGUACGGCAGUUGAGCCGCAUGGUUCCCAAUAAUUUUUAAAUUUUUUUUUUAACAUCCCUAAGGUUUGAAAAACCCUAAAUUGCUUCUAAUUUAUUAAUAUGCUUUGACUCACAAUUCCACAUAGCAAUUUAAUUGUGUAAUGCAUGAAACAAAUAUAUAUUGACAAAUUUAUGAACAUAUACAAUAUAUAUGUGUGUGUGUGUGUAUAUAUAUCGUAUGGAAAAUAUAAACAUAGAGGGGUUCGUGCAUCAUAGGGAAUGUUUUCAUGCUUCAUGGACGUUUCAAAUAUCUUCCUUUAUUUUAAGCGUAUCUAAUUGGCAAAAAACAAAUAAGAGCCUUUGAAUUUUGUGGAAGAUACGAUUCAUCAAUUCCUUAGCUUCUGGUAAGAGCGUCCUGAUAACGUGUUGUAGGCCUAUUUGAUUGAACAAAUCUAAGGGAUUAGAGAAAGAGGGGGUCGGCGGUAGCAAGAGGGAAGAGAGAGAUUUAAUUGUGAGGUGUGUGUUGUAUCACCCUCAUUGUGCCUUUAUUUAUAGUAGUAGGAUAGGCAAAAACCUUACCCUUUUAGAAUUACAACUCUUAAUAAGUAAUCAACUCCUAAUAGGAAUAUAAGAGAUAUUCCUAUAUCUAUUAGGAUUUAAACAAUCACAUUCUUAUUCUAAAUAUGAUUGCAACACAAACCCAAUAUAUGGGCCUAGAAAAACAGCUCUGAUAUCAUAUUAAAGUUUCAGAGAGAUGAGUAGAAUGGCCCUACAGCAAUAUUGACUCUAACUUAACCGCUUGUUGUCCAAUAGGUGUGAGAUCUUAUCCUAAAAGACUUUAAUGUAAAAUGGAUAUAAUCAUAAUAUGUUUUGUCAAACCUCCAAUGCAUGAUUUCCAACAUAUAGUCCAAUACAUCAAAGAUUUCCACCAUGUAACUAAGAAGAAAAAUAAUGCAUCAGUAUUAAUUGGAAGAUAUACUAAAAAAUUUAAGUACAUCUAUAUAUAAAGCCAAUGGAAAGGUGAAUAGUGAUUUUGGUGUCACCAUGCUUCAACAAAAACAUUUGGACAAAAAUGCUCCCAAGACAAAAAUCUUCAAAGGCAUCCCAAAAUAAUGCAUCAAAUAAGGCAGGGGCAUUUUCAUCAUUUUAAUAGUAUUUUUUUUAUAAAUAAUUUUUUGUGCUUUUUUUUUUUAAUUAGUGACUCACAAUAGGCUAGCAAUAAUGUGAUUCAAUUUCUCUAUUUUUAAACAUGUUCAAAACAUCUUAAGAGACGUGUAAUGUCGGUUAUAAAAAAAGUCUUUCUCGGAUAAUAAUGUGAUUAAAUUAGUUGUCAAUUGUUUUUUAACAAAUGAUAUUAUCUAUACUAAUGGGAAGGGGGUGGGCUUAGCCUCACAAUGAGAUAGCAAUAAUGUGAUUAAAUUAGUUGUCAAAUGAUUGUUUUUUUUAACAAACAAUAUUAUUUACACUAAGGGGAGGGGGGGCUUAGCCUCACAAUGGGCUAGCAAUAAUGUGAUUCAAUUAGUUGUUCAUUCAAUAUUAUUUUUUCUAUUUUUAAACACAUUCAAAACAUCUUAAGAGGCAUGUAACGUUGGUUAUAGAAAAUGUCUUUUGCACGUGGAUAAUAAUUCAAUCAGUUAUUUAUUCAAUAUUAUUUUCUCUAUUUUUCUAUAUGUUAUACAUAGCAGGUUUGUGAAAUUCCAAGUUUAUCCUUCUUGUUUCUUUUUUGUCGUGUUCCUUCAACAUGGGACCAAUGACGUAGAUUUCAAAUUGCAGCUAUGGCUGUCUAUUCCAAUCACAGCCACAAUUAGAAUAACUACAAAAGUGGCACUCCUAUUGCGACCCCAACUUUUUUAAAGGGUGAUUCUCUUCCCUCUUAAUUUAUUUUUCUUUUCUUUCCUUUUACUUGAAAGGUUAUGGUUAAUCCACAUCAAUCUCUUAUAUUGAUUUUUUUUUCGGUAACAAUAUAUUGAUUUCUUUAUAGAAAUAAUACGAUAAAAAAUAAAGUGUGAGAGGAGGAGAAUGAAGAGAAUAAGAAUGGAACGAGAGAAAAUCUUACUCUAACUUUUUGUUAUGCAAAUUUAUUUGAUGCCCAAUCAAAAAAUUUUGUUCAUACUUUUUAUGAAAUAUGUCCCGUCAUCUUCUGCAUAGUGAGCACAUGCCACUUCAACCAGAUCGUUUGCUAAGGAUUGUCGCGAAUAGAGACGGAGGGACGAAGGGACCAACAUUGGCCCAGACUUGCCCUCAUUUUUAUUCAAGAAAAAAGUAGACUAGUGCUAUUAGGCCAUCUCCAAGCAUCUCCAACCGAGGGCCAAGCCAGAUGGCUUGUGGGCCCCACGGAAUCCGAAAUGGCCAAAGGGCCAACCGGCUGGCCUAAUCCAGCCAACCAGCCUGGGCCGGCCUGGAUUUCAAAUUUCCAAUGGCUACUUGCUGAUGUCAGCUAGCCGUUAUAAUUUUUUUUUUUUUUUCACAGAAAUGCUUAACUAAAGGUUUUGGGCCAAAAUGUUUUAAAGAAUAUUUAAUUAUAGGCCCACAAAGUAUAUUUAACUAAAGAUUUGGGUGUUCUUUUUAUAAGCUUUGGAGGUUGCUCAAGUUCCUUCCACUGCCCCGGGACUCCCACCCUCUUCCCUUGUUUUUUUUUUCCCACUUCCUCUCCCACAGCUGAUGUGGGACUCUCCCACCCACUUCCUUUUUUUUUUAAUACUCUAAAUAAAACCUCUCACAUUUGACUUAAAAUAUAUAAGUUGCAUUUUUUAAAUUUUAGUUGUAGUUAUUAAAUUUAAGUUGUAUUUUUUAAAUUUUAGCGAUAGUUUUUAAAUUUUAGUUGUAGGUUUUAAAUUUAAAUAAUAAAUUAUGUUUGGCCCUUUGGCCCUUGGUUGGAAAUGGCUUUUAGUGAUAGGGCUAAAACGAACCCUAUGGCCCUCGGUUGGAGAUGGUAUGAAAUAUGGCUGUGUACUGUUCAUUAAAAUAUUAAUUUCUUGGAGGACUAGAUGGCUAAAACGAGCCAUCUAGCCAACCUUCCGUUGGAGAUGGUCUUAGGCCAUCUCCAACCGAAGGGUCCAGAGUGACACCCCGAUCCUAGAGUCAAGGCGUGCUGGCCGUCACGUGAGCGUGACGUAACCAAAAGUGCGAUGCGGAAGCAAAAGAUAAAAGAAUUACGAAGGAAUAAAAACCAACUACUAGCAAUAAUAACCAACUAGCAUACUAGAGUGAGUUUAAGUGUGAAACACACAUGUUCAGAGCAUAAGUACUAGAUGCAGUCAAGUAGGAACAUUACUAAAUUACAACACCCGAAGGUGAGUCCUACAUGAGGAGUCUGUCAGAACGCCGUGGGAAUCCUCGUGAGCCACCAACACCGCUAACUAGAACCUGGAGGGGCACAAAACAAGAUUGAGUGGGUCAAUAAAACAAAGCUUUUCGAAAACAUUUCACUUAAUAACAUUUAUAACCUCUCGCUGUAAAACAUGUAUACUUUCCCAGAAAAUAACAUAAUAUGCAUAUAAAUCUUCAAAUAUCUCAAUUCACCAAUCUUUAUCAAAAACCAGAAAGUAUGCCAUGCAUACAUAUAUAUGAAAUAUAUGAAUUAGUAAUUGUUGCAUAUAUAUGUUAAAUGGCGUUGUGGACGUACAGGUGAGUAUCAGGUGAGUUUAUAUUGUUCAUAUGAUUUAUUGAUGAUGUGAAUUGUGUUAAGAGCUCAUAACCUGCACCCUUGGUGUUAGUGCUUAUAUUAUUCACCCCGCACCACACACUCACCUUGGAUCCAAGUAGGUGCAUGUCGUACAGACCAUGAGAGGUGGUUCCGACAUGUCGUACAGACCAUUAGAGGUGGUUUCCGACUUGUAAAUGACUUUAGAUUAUUAUACAGUUGUUGAUGAGAGAAGCACUAGAGCGUAUUCUUACACCAUUCUUGUCGUACAAACUACUUCAGGUAGUUCCGAUUUAUGCAGAGUAGUGUCGUGCAUGUCACAAUGGUGACUCCGGUUGGGUUGGAUAUUGAGCUAUAAAAUUAACCGUACAAGACAGCUGCAGGGUCUCCGGUUGAUUCAUUAUUUCACCUGUUAUAUUGAUGCAUCCUUAUUCUGUUAUUGGGCCAGCACGCCUUGAUUCUAGGAUUGGGGUGUGUCACAGAGGGCCGAAAAUAGCCCGAAAACCGUCUCCAACCGAGGGUUAGGUCAGAGGGCUCGUGGAAUCUGAAAGGGCCAAAGGGUUGGAGGGCUAGCUGCAUGCCUGGGCUGGCCAGAAAAAACAUUAACUUGUCGAUUAUAACCGACAUGAAUGUUUAAGCUAAAAUUCAAAUGCGACGACUAGCUAUUACAUUUGAAUUUUUUUUUUUUUUACAGUUUUAUUAUUAUUUUUUAUUUACAAAAUUUUUCCUAUAACUUCUACUUUUCAUUUUUUUUUUUUAAAAAAAUUCUUAUAACUUUUAUUUUACAAAAUUUGUUUCAUAUUUUUUUAAAAUUCCAUUUUUUCCUGUAACUUCUAUUUCACAAAAUUUGUUUCAUUUUAUUUUAAAUUCUAUUUUGUUCCUAUAACUUCUAUUUCACAAAAUUUGUUCCAUAUUUUUUUUUAAAUUAUAUAUUUUUUUCCUAUAACUUCUAUUUCACAAAAUUUGUUUCAUAUUUUUUUUAAAUUAUAUUUUUUUUCCUAUAACUUCCUAAGUCAUUAUACAAUAUUAUUAAAUUAAGUAACAUGAAACAACAUUAAAUUAAAUUAAGUAACAUGAAACAACAUUAAAUAACAUUAACGAACAUACAAAUUAUACAACAUAAAAAAACAUUUAACAACAUGAAAUUUAAACAACAUUUUUAAAAACAUUUAACAACAUAAAACUUAAACGCCUACUCCAUGCUUCUUUUGGCCCAAAGAUGUGCAACAAGAUCCUGUUGUAGGUACUUGUUUGUGGCACGAUAACGUAUCAUUCUAUAGCGCCUCAUGUACUUAUUUAUAGAGAUACUAGCAGUUCUUGGAUUGAAAGGCAUUAGGCCCCUCAUAUAUUUUUGCACGAGCCUUUCUUGACCUAUUUGGAUCUUCUUGGUUGUCAUCGAACUCUCCAUCAAUAUACCCAUCUUGGUCAUCCUCCACUAUCAUAUUGUGUAAUAUGAUGCAAGGCAUCAUGAUGGAGUCCAAGUUUUCUCGACUCCACCCUUUUGCCAGUUUGCUAAUGAUCUUCCACCUUGCUUGUAGAAUACCGAAAGCUCUCUCAACAUCUUUCCGGUAUGCCUUUUGGUGUAAGGUAAAGAACUUUUCUGUGUCAUUCCUAGGGUUUGGAAUUGCUUGGACAAGUGUCGCCCACUUUGGGUAGAUAUCAACUGCCAAGUAAUACCCCAUAUUGUAUUGACAGUUGUUGAUGUAGUAGUCAAGUUGAGGUGUUUUACCUUCCGUCAAGUUAUUAAAUAAGGGUGAACGCCCAAGAAUUGUAAUGUCAUUUUGGGAUCCAAGGACUCCAAAGAAAGCAUGCCAAAUCCAUAUGUCAUAUGAGGUAAGCGCCUCUAACACAACAGUUGGCUUUCUCGACUUUCCGUUAUAGCCUUUUGUCUUAUGGUGGGAUAGUUGUUCCAAUCCCAAUGCAUGCAGUCUAAUGACCCUAUCAUGCCCGGAAACCCUUAUGAUGAGGUGAGAAACCAAGGCGGUCUGCUUUAUCCCGUUUUUGUUGAAAGUAUGGAUUGACCUGGACAUCACGAAGUAAACGCUCGAAGACAUGAUGCCUCAUCCGGAAGCGACGUCUGAAAUCCUCUUCUGUGUACAUCGUGCUAGGGUUGAAGUAGUUUUUCAUCAUAUUGGCAUGCGCCAUCGCUCUGUUUCAUGGUUUGUAAAAGCGACCAGCAACAAAGCCACGCCAUUAAGGUUGUUCCUCAGUUAGCUGACUCACCAUGGCCGCAGCCAUAGCUGCUACUCUGUUUUGUUUGUUGCGCCUUACUUGAACUUCUUCAUCAGACUCCUAAUUUUCUUGUCUCAUUUGCGCCCAUUUUGCUUCCAAUUUGGAAUUGGAUGAGGACCCCCAGUUGGAAUCCGAAGAGGAUCCAAAGUUGGAAUCCGAAGAGGAUCCAAAGUUGGAAUUCAUUGCAAACUUGAAUUGAAAAAGAUUGAAUUGAAAUAGAUUAAAUUCAAAGUUGUGUGAAUUAUAGUCCAAUAUCCACCCUAUUUAUAGAAAAAAAAUGCAAAUCCAAUGGCUAGCUGACGUCACUUGUCGUUGGAUUUGAAUUUAAGUUGUAGUUUUUAAAUAAUAAAUUAUGUUUAGCCCUUUUGCCCUCGGUUGGAGAUGGUUUUUUGUGAUAAGGCUAAAACGAACCCUAUGGCCCUCGGUUGGAGACGGAAGCAAAUAUGGUAUUGUACUGUUUAUUAAAAUAUUAAUAUCUUAGAGGGUCAGAAGGCUAAAAUGAGCCCUCUGACCAGCCCUCAGUUGGAGAUGGCCUUAGGACCCCAACAUUUGCCCAACCAGGCUAGGAAGCCGAUUGUCUGCCCUUCUGUUUGGGUGUCAUUCUCAUCCCUUCCUAUUUUGUGCGGUCACGGUUAAGCCACGUUAACAUUUUAUAUUAAUUUUUUAUAAAGAUAAUAAGAUAAAAAGUAAUAAGAAUAUAAAAUAUUAACGUGACUUAACCGUGAUCACACAAAUAAAAAGGAAUACGAGGGACACCAAACAGAGGAUAGAUAAUUUGCUUCCGCCAGGCGAACCCUUUCUGACUUCUCAACAGAGCAGCCGCUUUACAAGACAAGACAAGACCUCCGCUGCUGCUAGACUGCAAAGUUGCCAAAUCAACAAAGGCUUUAUCUUCUCUCUUCUAUUUUUAUUUUUUAUUUUUUAUUUUUGGUCAAUAUCUUCUCUUUUCUAAAAAGAAAAAAAAAUAGGCAAUUGAGAUUUAAUAGGGUACUAUUGUCCACACAUUUAUUUUUGUAUUUCAUAUAUCUCUUUUACUUUUUGACUUAAAUUAUUCUAGACCUUUUUUUUUAUGUCGUUACUGACUAAAGAUCAAACAUGACCUGGUUGGAAAGAUCAGAAUGCUUUCUUAAAUUACAUAGCCAUACGAGGGUUCAAGUUUUGGUUGAUAUUUACAGAAUUGAUUAUACUUCUUGAAAACAAAGAUUUGAAGUGGUCUAUACUUUAUUGAGUAUUCAAUAUAAUUCACACAUUUGUGUAAAAAUCAGUGCAAAUGAAGUAAUACGAAUGUCUCUAGUAGUCGGCCUAUAUCUAUCAACCGGUUGAUAAAAGCGAGAGAUUGAGAUAUGUUUGCUAUUUCUUCCAUCAAUCUUCCGAAUAUAAUAAAUUAAAUAUGAUCAAUGAAAUAGAAAUUAUAAAAAUGUGUGACAAUUAGCAAUUUGGCAAAUGCUCUUGUUUAUUAUAUUAUUUAAUAUGUGGUUACCGGUACUCUUGUCAAUUUCAUACUCUUGUAUGGGAAUUGCCGAAUUGAGCUUUAUCUUCUCCUUUGUUAUAUUAUUUUAUAUGUUGAUAACCUUGUUUUCUGCAAGGUUCAAUGAGAUCAAAUCUCGAAACCCACGUCCUGAGGCAAGUGACCCUUGUGGUGAUAGAUUUUUCAAUGUGAACGGUAUACGGAAUGAUACAUCAUAUCUUACUAAAUAAAUAGUAGGAUAUAUGUGCUAAAAAGUUAAUAACUUAAAAAAUAAAAUUUCUCAUAAUUCCUAUUAAAACACAUGAUAUACCAUUUAUGUUUCCGUCAUAACAAAAAAUUUCUUCAUUGUGGCGCCAUACUCUUAUGGCCCCCAGCAUGAUGUUUUGUGUGUACCAAGUAAAAGUGUAAUGUUAAAGAUAAUAAAUUUAUAAAUAAAUGAUGUAUCCCUGAUAAGAAAUAUUAUGCUUAUUAACGUUUAAGUAAUAAUUCAAUUAUCAAAUUUUAUGUUAUUUAGUUUACAAAAUUUAGUCUAUAAAUUUAGUCUUCCUAAUAUUACCCUAGGUAAAAUUACAAAUGAAUUUCUUGGUGUAUCUUACAAUAUUUAGUUUUUAACUUUCUAUGACGCUGAUUGGUUGGUAAGCAACGAGGAUACCUUUAUUACCUUGUGGCGUUGGUUUUUACCAUUUAACGAAAACCAGCAUGUCACUUUCUCAUAACCUCACUGGACUUUGGCAUCCCCGCACAGGUCAUCCUUCAUCAGCCGUUUACAAUUUGUAUCUAACAAUUUUUUGAAUUAUCAUUUUAAUUCGAGUCAUGUGUGCGAUGUUUCUCGUUGGCAAGACAAAUUCGCCAACCUUUUGAAAUUGGAUAAACUAGGAAAACUAAAUUUGGAUAUAAAAUUUGUAAACUAAAUAAUGUAUCAUUAAUAGAAAUAAGUAUGUUUAUCAAAGUGUAAGUAAAAAAUCAAUUAUCAACUUUCAUAUCUUUUAAUUUUCAAAACUUUGUCUACAAAUUUAAUUUCUCUAGCAUUAUUCUUUGAAAUUAGUUCUAUUUCAACAAGACCAUUUGCACUUUUACAUUGUGACAUUUGAGGUUCUAAUAAAAAAUUCUCUUACUUGGGCUUAUUGUUUUCUAUCUAUUUUCUUUGACUUUUUUCACCUAAGUUUUCUUAUUAUGCGACACAAUCACGAAAAACAAACCACGUUGCAAUCUUUUUUUGUCUUUGUUGAAACACAGUUUCAUAUUAAAGUCCAACAAAUACGUGUGAAUAAUGGGAAGAAUUUUUUUUCCGUGUUCUUUUCCAAUAACGGCAAAAUUAUCAACAUUCUUGUAUCUCUAGAUAAUUUUUUUUAACAAAUAAUAUUAUUUAUAUUAAGGAGGUGUUUGAGAAUGAGUUAAGUCUCACAAUAGACUAGCAAUAAUGUAGUUUAAAUUCACCUUCGGUGAGAAUUGAACUUAAGAUCUUUCGCUUACAAGUGAAAAUAUAUAUUACUAGACUAUAAUACUAAAUGCCUUGUAUCUCUAAAUGUUAGAAUUCCCUUAUUGUACAAGAACUACUCAUGUAUAUAUUUUUAUCUUAUCAAUGAGAAUUAUUCAUUCAAGCCAAAUAUAUUUUUUCUACAACAUCCAGGGCAUUUUCUAUCUAUAUAACUGGUGAAGCAAAAGAAAUCCAAUAAUGAUUGUUUAUUUAUUUAAUUUUUUUUUUAUAUCAAUGGAAAAGCUAAUAAAAAUGAGAGACCAAAUCCCACCAACUAAUAUGAUCAAUCAAUUCACAUCCUCAACCUGAUUACCUCGCGAAGGGCCUAUAUUUCGUCUACGUUGAUGUACACCAGCACUUACAUUUAAAGAUUUUAUCAUAAAUGGUCAUUGAAAUUAACCAUCACCAUCAAGAUGGUCUCUGUAAUUAAAAAUUAAUCAAUGUAGUUCUUGAAAAUAGAUGUCACAAAUCAAUGUGGUCAUUCUGUUACAAUUUUGUUAAAAAUUCCGUUAAGUGCUGAUGUGACCCACACCAAAUUUAUGGAUUUUUAUCACAAAUGGUCUCUGAAAUUGACUCACACCAUCAAAAUGGUCCCUUAAAUUAACCAACACCAUCAAUAUAGUCUCUGAAAUUGAAAAACAAUCAAUGUAGUGUUUUGAAAAUAAGUGUAGCAAAUUAAUAUGAGCAUUCCGCCACAAUUCUGCAAAAAAAAAAAAAUGUUAUAUGCUGAUUUGGGUUUAAUAAUUAAUUAAAAAAGUUGCCUAAAUAUCUUUUUGCACAAUGAAUUUUAUUUUCUUAUAGUAUGGCCUACUCCGAAGAGAGCUCCCUUCCAUAAAUUUUCAAAGGCACAAGGCUUAACCAAGGCCUAAGAGAGGAUGUGGAAAUAGUUUUCAACCAAAAAUAGACGCACCUCAGUUAUAACCUCAUUAUCUCAAGGCAGAUUUCGUCAUUCUUUGCAUCACCAAACCACCAAGGAAGCGCCUAACAAACUCUCUAAGAUUAAGAUUGUGAGGAUGUUAAUCGCAUAAAUGUUAACGGUGAUGUCCCAUAAGUCGUUACAAAUGGACCAAGCCGUCACCAAAGGUGAUCUCGAUCCAAGUUCAAUUUGGUGAGGGUGUUGAAGUAUGGAAAGAUGGGUGUAUUGAGAUUUCUUUUUAGAGAAUAGAGAGUGAAGGAGGUAUAGAAAUGUGGACUAGGAUCGGAGGUGAUUGAAGGACUGGGUUUUUGGGUUGACAAUUUUUUAUUAACUAUUAAAUUAUUAAGCCUAUUUGUAAUUUUUUUUAAAUUUAAUUAGACUUGUGUGACCUGUUUAUGUGUCACAUCAGCAUAUAACAUAAUUUUUGACAUAAUUGUGACGGAAGAACUACAUUGAUUUGAGACACUGACUUGAGGGACUACAUCGAUCAAUUUUCAAUUUCAGGGUCCAUUUUGAUGUCACAAGUCAAUUUCAGGGACCAUUUUGAUGUCAUGGGUCAAUUUCAAAGAACAUUUGUGAGAAAAAAGGACUUAUAGGGUCCAUUUAUGUGUCACAUCAGCACUUAACAGAUUUUUUUAAUAGAAUUGUGAGAGAAUGACCACAUUGAUUUACGACACUUAUUUUCAGGGAUUACAUUUGUGAUAAAAACCCUUCCAUUUAAUGAUUAAUCUAUCUCCUUUACAAAAAGAAGAAAUGAGACAAACUCCAACCCUUGGAGUAAGUACCAAAGAUUUAGGCCAAAGAAAAUUGUGGAGCCCAUAAGUGAGAGUGGAACAAGGGAGGUAAAGUGGACUUGCCCAGCAUAGACUCACGCAUGGUCAGUAUGCGCUUGGCAGCGUCAGGUUCUCUGGCCCACCCACGUGGGGUUGUUGGGCUCGUCCCCAUGACACGAGCCCAACGGCUCUUUUUGGUGAUUCGACGGCCAUAAUUCAAAUGGAUCUUGGAAAUCUAAUAGUCCACUUUAAUUUAUUUAAUUUUUAGUUUUAUAUUUAUAUAUUUAUUGAAUCCAACUACUGAAAUCGAAUAUAAUCAAAUCUAAUGAUAUAAAAAAAGAUCUAACAACCCAAAUUUAAAUUCAACGGCUAAAAUAAUUAAAAAAAUUAUUUAACUCAAAAUUCACCCAAAUUUAGUGAUUUUUCAAUAUUUAUCAGAAUUUAAAUAUUUUAGGUUAAAAUGGUCAUAAAAUAAAAUUAAAAAAGUAUACAUAAUUUUUUAUUCUUUAAUAACCUCGUGCUAAAAAAUUUAGGCCAGGAUGAUUGGAGUAGAAAAGUUGUUUUUGGAUUAAAGCCUAAAUUUUCUGAACUAAAAAUUUUAGAUUUUAUUCCAAAGGUUGGAGAUGAUCUGAUAAUUAACUAAUGUUUGAUUUAAGCAUUUCGGCAAUGUAAAAUUGUUUAGACCCAAUUUUGCACUGUUAACCCAUUUAAUUGAGGUCGUUAGAUUAUUAAUAUUUUCUUUAGAUAUCACUACAGAUAUUAAUCGUUGUAGUAAUUGUCUUGGAGAUGCAUAUAUAACUUGAGAGUCGGAUAAAUCCAAUUCGGUAUUGUGCGUCCACGUGAGAGAAGAUGAAGAUAUUCGGUAUUCACCAUAAGAUCAAGAUGGAAUAACAGUGGAAUAUAUUUUUAGAUUCCUGACGCCAUGCGAAAAUUGAAAGAGUUGGAUUGAUGACAAAACUUGAUGCGACACUGACAUGGUAUUGGGGAUAGUGAUUAUCAUCUUUGCAAAGAUGAUUUGCAUGCCGUGAUGCCUUGGUGGAAAUGCAUGGCUAGAAGAUAAAUUGCAUGAUAAUUACUUGAAGUUAGCCGUGGUCUUGAUUUCCACAAUAUGAGGGGAUAAAAUGAAAAUUGUUCAGCUUACACUCUGCACCUAUAUAUUUUUAAUUAAAGAAUUAAUAUCUUUUUAAACUCAAAUUUUUUAUUUAAAUUACAUUUACAAACUCAAUUCAUUUAUCUUUAUACUCAUUUAGAAAAUAAAAUCCCAAAUUGAAUAAUUUGGUCAAGUUUCUAAUUAUUUAUGGGAAUGAAAGCUUUUUAGACUUCAACUUCUGAGAACAAGUUGAAUAAUUUGGUUAAGUUUCUACUUAUUUAUGAAUCUUACUUGUAAACGUUAUCUAUGCAUCAAAAAGUCUAAAAAGUAAAACUUGCUUGUGAGUCUGUGACACAAGAAAGAAAACCCUUCCUAUUCUCUCUGCUUGCUGCAAUGACUAGGCCAAUCUAAACACUGCCAAAGACGUCAAACACAUCUUACAAUUUAUAUUAGACAUCAUUGUGUUUAGCAACCUCGUCAAGUGCAUCUUACAGUUUGUAUUGAACAACACUGUGCUUGACAAUUGGCAACAUCGUACAAUUUGUAUCGGACAAACACUAGCUCCAUAGAGUCAAACAGUCGUGGAGCAUCUUACAAUUUGUAUUGGACAUCACUCAAGUUCGCCUGACUAUCUAUCCAAGUCUCUAUCAACAAGGGUUCUUUGAGUCCUUGUUGGAAGAGGUCACUUCAGUAGCUUUCUCAGCAAAGUUAGGAGUUACCAAGUUACAUCGGUUGGCACAUUGAAAACCGAACCUGUUUUAAGAUUGGAUAUUCACAAGUACAUUUUAAAGGCACUUCGGCAACCGAACCACAUUUAAAAUCAAGACACUUAUCUCCUUUGAAUAUUUGUGUCGGUAUAGUCUGGUACUGAUUCGGCGCACUUAUAUUUGCACAAAUAUAAUUGAAGCAACCGAGCCCGAUGCUGAUGAUUCAUGAACUUCAAAGUAACUAGUAGUCUUGUCUUCGAACUCUAGAACCUAAAGGCCGAGAUGAGUUCUUUCUUUGGCCGCAAUCAUAAGAUACAUAAAUUAACAAUGCGUUUGGCAUCUUUUUUUUGUUUAUAUUGAAACACAAUUUCAUAUUAAAGUCGAACAAAUACGUGUGAAUAAUGGGGAUAAUUUUUUUUCCAUGUUCUUUUCCAAUAAUGGCAAAACUAUCAACAUUCUUGUGUGUGUGUGUGUGUGUGUAUGUGUGUAUAUAUAUAUAGAUAUUAACAAACAAUAUUAUCUAGACUACGGGGGUUGGGGAGUGAGCUAAACUUCAUAAUGGGCUAGCAAUAACGUGAUUCAAAUUUGCUUUGCUUCUGACAAUAAUUGAACUUAAUACCUCUCACUUACAAAUAAAACGGAAUACCACUAGACUGUAGUACUAAUUGACUUGUAUCUCUAAAUAUUAGAAUUUCCUUAUUGUACAAGAACUACUCACGUAUAUAUUUUUCUCGUAUCAGUGAGAAUUAUUCAUUCAAACCAAAUAUAUUUUUUCUUCAACAUCCAGAGCAUUUUCUAUCUAUAUAUCUGGUGAAACAAAACGAAUCCAAUAAAAUGAUUGUUUAUUUUUUAAAAUCAAUGGAAAAACUAAUAAAAAUGAGAGACCAAAUCCCACCAAUAACAUGAUCAAUCAAUCACAUCCUCAAUCUGAUUACCUCGCGAAAGGCCUAUAUUUCGUCUACGUUCAUGUACACCAGCACUUCCAUUUAAUGAUUAAUCCAUCUCCUUUAGAGAAAAGACAAAAGAUAAUUAGCUGAUGUUCGAUUUAAGCAUUUCGUCAGUGCGAAACAUAAUCAAUUAUUGUUUACCCCAAAAAAAUAAAAAAAACACAAUCAAUUAUUCCAGAAACUGAUAACACAUUGUUUGUCAACCUCUUUAGAUUUGAAGUUGGGAACUUUUGACUGUUGAAUUAGUUGGACUAUAAGGGAAUGUUUAGGUGAAGGAGUUCUGAAUUUCAAGGGAAUUAGUCAAAAUAAAGAAAAACGUUGAUUACAAAAGGUUGGAUGAGAGGAAUUUUUUGGUUUUUUUUUUUUUAACAAACGAUAGUAUUUAUGCUGAAGAAAGAAGAUGUGCUAAACCUUAAAAUGUGCUAGUAAUAAAGAGAGAGGAAUUAGAAAAUGCACCACAUGAUUAUUACAAAGAUAUGCAAAAUGGAUUGUAAAUGACUUCUUUUAAGUACUUUGCAAAUCUCUCUCACAUGCCUAUUGUAAUGAUCAAGUUGUGCAUUUCUAAUCUUUCUAUUUAACUUUUGGUGAACUAUUUUUCAUCAUUAUAUGUAAAUCCGUUGAAAUUUGAAAAUUCCUCACCCAAACAUAACGUAAGUGAUUGAAUUGCCGACUUGAUAUAGGAUGAAAAGUGAAACAUUUUUGUUGUGUACGUGGAAUUAUGUAAUGGUAAUUGUUUUACUUGUAAAAGUCAUAGUGGGACUGGCAUACGUGUGUGAAGCCAACUAAGACAAUUUAUAUGCUUCGUUGCACUAGAGAAAUUUGAUUAGAACCCAAUGAACCUCUUUCCACGUUUAUGCACCAAGAAUUUUAACGUUAAGGCAAUAAAUUAGACAUUUCCAGCAGUAGCUGUACUAGAUUUUAUUGUAUUAGAAUUUCAAGACCAAGUUUUUUUAUUUGUCUAGAAAGAACUCUCUAGUAUCUUUUUGUACUCUCUUUAUGAAAAUCGAGGCUUAUCAAUUUGUAAUAAUCAUAAAACAAGAAGUGUUACAAAUAAGAGUUUUGCAAUAUUAACUCAUAUUUUUAGCAAUACAUCAAUAUUAAAAUUAUUUCCUGCACCAAACUAUAUUUUAUGGCUCAUCCAUUAUUUGUUUUAUUUUUCUAAGUUAUUACUCAAGGUCUGGUUAGGCACGACUAAGGUUUACUUAAAUUGGUUUUCUACUAUUAUUCAUUUGUACAUGAAUACCUCCUUUAAUAUACUCUAAUUUAUGUGAAAUAGGGAAAAUUCUGAAAUUUAGCUUGACUCUGACAUACUAAGAUUGAAGGAUGAAUGAAAAAGAAGUUUCAUUGACAUCCAACGACACUUACUAAAACCGUAUUAAUUUUAGUACUUUGAUUGAAACACAAACUGUUAAAUUUCAGUAUUACAUAAGAAAUUUAAUAAUGAAAAUUAAUAAUUCCUCCCUAAAAUCAUACAAAGAUUUUUAACCUCAAAUUCGAACUGUGUGAAAUUUAAUCAAAUAUUUCAGUUUUUUCAAAUAAAAUAUUUUAUUCUUAUUUUUAAAAUAGGGGAUGUUUUAAAUUAAAAAGGGUACAUUUUUAUUUAAAAAGUGAGUAAAUUUUACUCAAAAGUCUAUAAUUAGUAUGAGAACCUAGUUUCUUCUAGUUGGGUGUAUUCAAUUGGGUAUUUGAGAGAUUUCAAUGGAUUUAUAAAUCCAUAGAAGGAGUUUAAUUGAUUUGUAGAGAUUCCGUGUAAAAUUUUGAUUCAAUUCCCUCGAAAUCUCAUGGGGAGAUGUGAGAUUUGUGGAUGCUUAAAAUACACUACGAAAUCUCUCAAAUUCUCUCAAAUUCCUCAACAUUUUCAAAUUCUUUAAAAUCAAAUUCUAAUUGAAUACACCUGGAAUGUUAUAAACUUCUUUAAAAUCUUAAUGGAAUACACCCAAAUUUCUAAGGAUUUUAAUAAACUAUCUUAAAAUCUUAAUUGAAUACACAUUGAAUUUCAGAGAGUCACUUAAAAUCAUGAUUGAAUACCAUUAGAUUCAUUAAAGAAUUAAAAUCCCUCAAAAACUCAAUUCAAUGCACCCACUUUUUUUUUUUUUUAUAAUUUAUUUUGAAUUCUAGAUUUAGAGAGAAUGUUGAAAUUGAACAUUUAAAAUCUUCACUUUUCAGCUUUCAAGUGGGAGUUGAAUUAAUUUCUAAAGGAAGAAUGAAACCGUAAACAAAGGUAGAUUCACUGCGCCCACAUUCUAUUGCAAUAACAAUAGCUACCAACCACUUUGUUCAGAAGAAGGGGGAAAAAAAAUAAUUAAAAUGGAAAUCUGACAGCCACUCCAUACAUGAAAAUGACGAAGUAGGAUUCUCUUAUUUCUCAUGCCCUCACCUUCUAUUUGAAUAGUCGUAAUUUAGUUUUGUUGACAUCUUGUAUUAAUUUUUUUGUAGAUAGAGAAAGACAAAAAUUACAGAGAUGCUAUCAAAAGAAGGUAGUGUUAAAAUACAAGUCAAGGGUAAAUGAAAAUUAUACAUUAAAAUGGACAUGUCAACCUUAUCGUCUAUUUAUAUUAUAAUACAUAGCAUACUAUCUUUUAUUCUUGGUACACAACGUAUCAAUCAAUACUACACGGCAUGGUGUGAUAGUCAGAUUUAAAAAUUCAUCUAAAAAUACUCAUUUAAGGUUAACUUUUAUAAGUGAUCCACGAAAAUAUGGUUGGUUGUAGCGCUUUUUUCUUUUCAAGUCAAAUUGAACUUUAUUAAUAACCAUGCAUCAAGAUCGCACAUAAGGCAGAGAUGACAAAUGUAAUCAAGCAGUCGCAUAUGUCGAAAAUAUCAAAACAAUUUUACAAUCACAAACUUAUCCUGAAAAUCACAAACUUAUCUUGAAAAUUAUGUAAUUUCUAAUCACAAAGGACCCACGUUCCACCAACAAGAUAGCAGAUACUCACGGUAUCGGCACCAUGAGGAAAAAAAAUCAAACAGGCACAUAACAGUAAAAAAUAAAUAUACAGUGGGAAGGAACAUCAGAAGUCCAAAAGACAAAAAAGACAAAAGCUAACAAUACAAAACUUAUCAAUUAUUUGACAAAAGGAGCCAAAGAUAACUAAAAUAUGAAAAAAGCAAUCCAAAAGGAAUAUGUCUUGCCGAUCUUAAUUUAAGAAUCCGUUUGUAAUUGCUAAUGUAAAAACACUUCUCCUCAUCUCUGCCGCCAUGCAUAUAAAACUUUAUCCAUAUAACUUUACAAAAAGAUGGCAUUUUGUCAUCGUGAAUACAGGAAUGAAUGUCAUUCGAGACUACUUAAUUAAUGUUAUUAUUUGCAAUUACGUGUUGAUGUCAAACACCAGAAAGUCAAAUUGAAGCACUAUAAUGCCUAAGAAAAAGAUAAACACAAAUACUAAUCGGUCAAUGAUCUGCGUUUUCUCCUUUUCAUUGUUUCCACAUGGUGAUUUUAGUGUAAACAAAUCAAGGGAAAUGCUCAGUCCAAGUGCAUUAUACUCUGUCAAUGAGAUUCAUCCGUUCGUUCUUACGGAUUAUACAAACUAUGGACGGAAACUUACUCUUUUUCAAUUUUCUUAAGCUUUCAUCUUAUCUAUUGAAUCCACAUCAUACACUUAAAAUCCAGGCUCUAAGGUCAUUUGGCACUAUAUAAGUAGGAUAAUACUUGCUUCUACCGUAUUGGUGGACGUGCAUAUCCACUUCUUAUAAAUAGUGUAUUUUCAUCGUAAAAUUUUACAAUAAGAAUCAUCCAUUUUCUCAAUCAUCAUUUAAAGAUCAUCUCUACAAAAAUAAUUCGGAUCAGAGAUUGUUUAGUCAUCCAAAUGUAUCAAAUAAUUGGAUAGUUCAUUAUGAAUAUAUUACUUGAUAUACCUGCACUAUUGAUUUAUUCCACAAAUUUGAAUGAUUAAAUGAUUUUUUAUUCAAACAAUUUUUUACAGGGUUUUUAUCACAAAUAGUCCCUGAAAUUAAAAAUCAAUUAAUGUAGUCCAUGAAAAUAGGUGUCACAAAUCAAUGGGUCCUUCCGUCACAAUUAUGUUAAAAAUUCCGUUAAGUGUUGAUGUGGCAUGCGACAACCCGUCCCAAAAAUUUCGUUUUCUAUUUAUUUUAAUCGAGGGAAUUGACGAAAAUACCCUAGAAGUGAGAUCAUUGACUUUAGUUGACCAUCUUUUAGUAACUCAUACGUGUUAUUAUUUGUCGUACUCUCGAAGUACUCGACGAUCCAAACGUAUAGGCGUAAGCAGAAUCGAAAGCAGAACUAUGGAUAAAAUUUUAUAAGACUUCGAGUGCUGAAGACAAAUAGAUAAAUUUCAUAAUUGGGAAAUAUUUUUGUGACUUUUUUUUUGGGAGCCAUGUGAGUGGCUAUGAAGGAAAAGAGAGAGGAAAAUGGUUGCUGGCUAAUCAGGAAAAAGGGAAGGGAGAAAGGAGAGCUGGGAGGGUGGAUGGACCAACCAGGAGAAGAGGGAGAAGAGUCUAACCAAUCAGGAAGAGAAGAAAGAAGGAGACAGGAGAGAAGGGAGAAACGGGGAAUUACAACCCGCGAACUCGUAACUCGACCCGGUCGGUGUUCUUGCCAUUUCCAAAGGGUUUUGGCCCAUUUUUCUGACGAAUCGCAUCAAACCAACCCUUGUAAAACCCUCCAUGACCUUCCUUCUUCCUAUUACACCUCAAAAAUAAAGGGUUUUGGCUUUGAAAUUAGGAGAAACAGCACGGAGGGGUGCGGCGGGUUUGGGUUCAAUUUACCUAAAUCCAAAACUAAUCACACCCAUCUCUACCACCAUUAGACUUCCUUUGAGGUAUGGAACAAAGCCCAAUCAGUUGUAGGGGCGGCGGAUCAUCAAGGAGAAAGAAUCGAAGCACACCCACACUUAGGGUUCCGACGGAUUUUAGCUAAAUUGGGGCUUUUCCCGAUCAAAUUGGCCUUGGUCACAAGUAUGAAAGUUGCCCUACUCAUUGAGACCUUCAUUUCUAUAGUUUUUGAGAAUUUUUAGAAAUAGUUGAAUUUUUCGGCGAGUCGGGGCGGCCAACCGCCACCCGAGGCGGCGCGUGGUCAGGGGACCGUCAAUGUUAUUUUUAGGCUAAAUUAGAUGCCUUGAGUUCAAUUUUGGUAAUUGUAUAACGUAGGUUGAUUGUUUGGACCUAAAUUCAUUAAGAUAUGUUACUUGGUAAAAACAUGAAUUGACGACUGUUGGAUUGUCACCAAACUUUAAUACGUUAUAAUACAUAAUAUUUGAAGUUCAUAGGAACUUACGAAUCGGGAAUCCGAUAUACGGAUCUUCCCAAAUUGGAUUUGUAAGUUCAUAAAAUAAAAGGUUAACCGCCACUUAGUUUUGGCUAUUGGCGGAGAUACGACCAUUGGAUCAUAAUGAAACUUUAGGAUGUUGUUCUAGACGUAUAAUGUGGAUCUUUGGAAGCAAUGGACCCGAAAUCCGUGAUGCAGAUCUUUUGAAUUGAAUUACGUAGGGAUGUGUUUCAUGUAAAUUAUAUAUUCUAUUGGUAAGAACUCUGAGAUGUGAUUUGAUAAUUGUUAUAGGCAACGAUGGUUCAUGAUGUCUCGAUAUGCAUGCUAGGGAGUCGUAGCGUGGACCUCAGGUGAGCGGAUCUUUUCCUUUCUAUCGUAUAUAUAUAUAUAUAUAUAUAUAUAUAUAUAUAUAUAUAUAUAUAUAUAUAUAUAUAUAUAUAUAUAUAUAUUAUAUUAUUGAUAAUUCCAUAAAUGUUUAUAAAUUGAUUAUUGCUUAUAAUUACCGUUAAUGCUUUGAAGUACUGAUGCAAACUACGAAUGGCUUGAUCCCUAUUUAGGGUGCGUAGGCAGUCUAACGAAACGUUAGAUGCAGCCAUAUCAUAAAUGAGAUUAAAUAAUUGAGACAAUAGCCUUAUUUGUGAAAUUGUGCAAGGUGGGGGACCUUGGUAGAAGAUGUAUAUAUAUAUAUAUAUAUAUAUAUAUAUAUAUAUAUCUAUAUAUAUUUGGCACCACUACGAUAUGGUUAAGUUUUGAAUUGCAUCAAGGCAUGUCCAUAAGUAUAUUAUUGAGCAUUAUUAUUAUGAACGCUUUAAGGUACGAAGGUGAACGUGGGAUGCAUAGAUAAGUUCAGGUGAGUAUAUGUUGUGAAAUGUGAAAUGCAUAAUUGUGAUUACAUUUUAUUUAGAACGAUCGAGUGAUGGCAUGACUAUAUUAUAUUUUGAGCAACUUCGACACUAUCAUACGGAUUGCUCAUGAGUCGUACAUGUUAUGUUGAGAUGUAUUGAGAGCUCAUAAACCUGCACCCCCGUGGCCAGGGUAUAGUCUUUCGCGUGAUGUUCACCUCCUGCACCUUACGCUCACCUUGGAUCCAAGGUAAGUGCACAGCCCUGUCUUACAAACCACUUUAGGUGGUCCUGACUCGUAGGUGACCUGCAAUUAUUCGCACAGUCUUCACGUGAUCGUAGCACUUGAGCGUAUUUAUUUACACCCAGUCCUGUCGUACAUACCACUUUAGGUGGUUUCGACUCAUGUGCAGGUAUACUUAUUGAGCUAUGGAUAAGUCGUAUAGGUCACUAAAGGUGACUCCGAUUUAUGAGCUAGCAUAUGUGAUGAGAUAUGUGACGAGCUAGCAUAUGUGAUGAAUAUGUGAUGUGACGAGCUAGCAUAUGUGAUGAAUAUGUGACGAGCUAGCAUAUGUGAUGAAAUGUGUGACGAGCUAGCAUAUGUGAUGAAAGAUGUGAUGAGCUACCAUAUGUGAUGAAAGAUGUGAUGAGCUAGCAUAUGUGAUGAAAUAUGCGAUGAUCUAGCAUAUGUGAUGAAAUAUGUAAUGAGCUAGCAUAUGUGAUGAAUAUGUGAUGAGCUAGCAUAUGUGAUGAGAUGAAUAUGUGAUGAGCUAGCAUAUGUGAUGAAUAUGUGAUGAGCUAGCAUAUGUGAUAAAGUAUGUGACGAGCUAGCAUAUGUGAUGAAAUAUGUGAUGAGCUAGCAUAUGUGAUGAAUAUGUGAUGAGCUAGCAUAUGUGACGAGAUAUGUGAUGAGCUAGCAUAUGUGAUGAAUAUGUGAUGAAUAUGUGAUGAGCUAGCAUAUGUGACGAGAUAUGUGAUGAGCUAGCAUAUGUGAUGAGAUAUGUGAUAAGCUAGCAUAUGUGAUGAACUAGCAUAUGUGAUGAGAUAUGGGUAAGUCGUACAGGUUACCAUAGGUGACUCCAACUUGCGUGCUAGUAUGGGUUAUUAAUCACAUGAUUAUUUGAUAUUGCUGAUGAGAUGCUAUGUUGUGACAUAUUUAUGAUUUUUCUGGAAACUAUACAAGUGUUGUAACGAGGGGUUAUAAUGUUUUAUAUGGUUUCUAUUAAAAUUUUAUUUCCAGGGCCACUCACUCUUGUUUUGUCGUCACCCUCCAGGUUUUAUUAGCUGAGCUUUCUUAUCGUCGAAGAUUCGUGGCGAUUCUUAAUAUUGGAGAUUAUUUCGAGGUACGAUUCUUAAUUCACUCUACUAUAUUUGCUUAUGCUCUAACGUCACGUGUGAAGUGGGUUCAUUCCCGCUCACCUCCGCAUUUUGGUAUUUAGGCACUCUUAGGUUUAAAUUUAUUCACAUUUUUCCACAUCAUCAUACUUUAUGGCUUUGUCAGCCUCCAGGUGUCGGCCAACACAGCUUGAUUCGGAGUCUUAGUGGACAUGUCGGGUCGGGUGUGUCAUGGCACAUAAAUGGGCCCAUAAGAUUUAUGGGUUUUUAUCACAAAUGGUUCUUAAAAUUGACCCACACCAUCCAGAUGGUCCCUGAAAUUGACCCAGACACCAUCAAUCUGGUUCUUGAAAUUGAAAAUCAAUGUAGUCCUUGAAAAAUAGGCGUCGCAAAUCAAUAUGAUCAUUCAACCACAAUUCUGUAAAAACAAAAUUGUUAUGUGCUGAUGUGGGUGUAAUAAUUAUUUAAAAAAGUUGUCUAAAUACAUUUUUGCACAAUGGAAAUUUUUUUCUUAUAGUAGGGCCUACUCCGAAGAGAGAUCCCUUCCAUAAAUCUCAAAGGCACAAGGCUUAACUAAGUCAUAAGAGGGGGUGUGGAAAUAGUUUUCAACCAAUAAUAGACUCACCUCAGUUAUAACCUUAUUAUCUCAAGGCAGACCUCGCCAUUCUUUGCAUCACCAGACCACCAGGGAAGAGCCGAACAAGGUCUCUAAGAUUAAGGUUGUGAGAAUAUUCAUCGCCUAAAUGUUAAUGGUGAUAUCCCAUAAGUCGUUGCCAAUGGGCCAAGCCGUCACCAAAGGUGAUCUCGAUCCAGGUUUCCGUGAAGAGUGUCGAACUAUGUAAAGUAUGAGUGUAUUGAGAUUUGUUUUUUAGAGAAUAGAGAGCGAAUGAGGUAGAGAAGUGUGGACUAGGAUCAGAGGUGAUUGCAAGAUUGGGUUUUUGGGUUGAUAAUUUUUUAUUACGUAUUAAUUAAGCCUAUUUGUAAUUUUUUAAAUUUUAGACUUGUGUGACCCAUUUAUGUGUCACAUCAGCACAUAACAUAAUUUUUGACAAAAUUAUGACGAAAUGACUACAUUAUGGGGCCCAUUUAUGUGCCACAUCAGCACUUAAUAGAAUUUUUAACAGAAUUGUGAUGAAAUGACCACAUUGAUUUGCGACACCUAUUUUAAAGGACUACAUUGAUUGAUUUUCAAUUUCAGGGACCAUCUUGAUGGUGAUGGUCAAUUUCAGGGACCAUUUGUGAUAAAAAUCCUUUUUUAAAUGAAUAAUCUUCAAAAUAAAAAUUAAGAAAUUGAAUAAUUCUAAUAAGAAAUUUCUAGGAUGAAAAUACCAGCACCCUUUGAUAAUUGUAACCUCCCCAAAUCUUGUUCUAGGUACAACUUCAGGUGUUAGCUAGCACAUUUCACCUCAAUUGGCGGUUUACAGUUGGCCUUAUCCCAUCGUUAGCUUGCCCAAGAAAAGUUGCAAAUUUAUGUAGCAUACAAGUGUCAUAGCAAUGUAGACCUCCAAUUUCUUAGGCCAUCUCUAACCGAAAGGUCCAGAAGGCUGAAAAUAACCUGAAAACAGUCUUCAACCAAGGUCCAAGCCAAAGGGCUCAUGGCCUUACUGGACAAAAAAGGGCCAAAAGGCCAACCAGCCAGCCCAAACCAGCCGGCCCCGGGCCGAGCCAAAAUUUGAAUUCCAACGGUAACUAGCUGAUGUCAGCUAUCCGUUAUUUUUGAAUUUUUUUUUUUCACAAAGUUUUUUUUUCCCAUAACUUCCUAAGCCAUUAAGCAACAUUAAAUAACAUUAAGUAACAUGAAACAACAUUAAAUAACAUUAAACAACAUAAAAAAACAUUUAACAACAUGAAACUAAAACAACAUUUUUAAAAACAUUUAACAACAUAAAACUUAAACAUCUACUCCAUGCUUCUUUUGGCCCAAAAAUGUGCAAAAAGAUCCUAUUGUAGGUACUUGUUUGUGGCACGGGAACAUAUCAUCCUAUAGAGUCUCAUGUACUCACUUAAAGAGAUACUACUAGUUCUUGGAUUGAAAGGCAAAUUAGGCCCAUCAUAUUUUUGGCACGAGCCUUUCUUGACCUAUUUGGAUCCUUUGGUCGUCGUCAGACUCUCCAUCAAUAAACCCAUCUCGCUCAUCCUCCAGAAUCAUGUUGUGUAAUAUGAUGCAAGACAUCAUGAUGAAGUCCAAAUUUUCUCGACUCCACCCUCUUGCUGAUUCCUUGAUGAUCUUCCACCGUGCUUAUAGAAUACUGAAAGCUCUCUCAACAUCUUUCUCGUAUGACAUCAUGAAGUAAACGCUCAAACACAUGAAGCCUCAUCCGGAAGCGACGUCUGAAAUCCUUUUCUGUGUACAUCAAGUUAGGGUUGAAGUAGUUGUUCAUCAAAUUAUCAUGCGCCAUCGCUCUGUUUCGUGGUUUGUAAGAGGGACUAGCAAUAGAGCCACCCCAUUGAGGUUGUUCCUUAGUUGGUUGACACACCAUGGACGCAGCCAUGGCUGCCAUAUAUUGUGUGUUGCGCCAUGCUUCAUCUUUUUCAUCUGACUCCUCAUUUUCUCAUCUCAUCGGCACCCAUUUUUCUUCUAAUUCGAAAUUGGAUUCGAACUGCGAGUUGGAAUUCGAAGAGGAUCCAAAGUUGGAAUUCAUUGCAAACUUGAAUUGAAAGAGAUUGAAUUCAAAGAUGUGUGAAUUAUAGCCCAAUAUCCAUCCUAUUUAUAGCCCAAACAAAUUCAAAUCCAAUGGCUAGCUGACGUCAGUUACCGUUGGAUUUGAAUUUUUUUUUUCGGCCAAAAUUAAAAACAAAAUAUUAAUUUUUUUUAAUUUUUUCCUAUAAAUUUAAGUUGUUGUAGUUUUUAAAUUUAAAUAAUAAAUUAUAUUUGGCCCUAUGGCCCUUUAACCCUUGGUUGGAGAUGAUUUUUUGUGAUAUGGCUAAAAUGAGUCAUAUGGCCUUUCGGCCCUCGGUUCAAGAUGGUAAGAAAUAUGGUUAUGCACUGUUGAUGAAAAUAUUAAUUUCUUGGAGGGCCAAAGGGCUAAAACGAGCCCUGUUAGGCCAUCUCUAACCGAGGUCUGGCCAGAGGGUUCGUUUUAGCCCUCUGGCCCUCCAAGAUAUUAAUAUUUUAAUGAACAGUACAAGACCAUAUUUGCCUCCAUCUCCAACCGAGGGCCAAAGGGCCAUAGGGCUUGUUUUAGCCCUGUCACAAAAAAUCGUCUUCAACCAAGGGCCAUAGGGCCAAACAUAAUUUAUUAUUUAAAUUUAAAAACUACAACAACUUAAAUUUAAUAACAGCAACAACUUAAAUUUAAAAACUACAACAACUUAAAUUUAAAAACUACAACUUAUAUUUAAAAGCUACAAAUUAAAUUUAAAAACAACAUUAAAUUUAGGUAUUUAUAGGAAAAUAUUUAGAAUUUUUAAGAAUUAAAAAAAAAUUUUGAACCCAAUGGUAACUGGUGUCAGGUAGCCGUUGGAUUCAAAUUUGUGUUUAAACAUUCCUAUCAGAUAUAACCGACAUGAAUAAAUUUAUAUUAAAUAUAUUCCUGUCGUUAUAUCCGACAAGAUUGCUGGAAUUUCUGGCCAACCCCAAGCUAGCUGCAUGUGGCCAGCCCUUUGGCCAUUUCAGAUUUCGUGGGGCCCAUGAGCCCUCUAGCCUAGCCCUCGGUUGAGACGGUUUUUGGGCUAUUUUCGAGCCUCUGGCCCUCUGGACCCUUCGGUUAGAGAUGACCCGAUCCUCCUUCGAUUGGAGAUGGCCUUAUAAAAGGCCACUAGACUUGCACUAGUUUUGUACCACCCAUGUCACAGUUUGCACAUCUCGCUAGUUCCCAUAACAAUGUCACCUAAAUGGCUUCUCGUAUUAUUCCUGGGUGUGAUACUUCUGAGCACUUAUUCUUUUGCUGAUCACCAUAAACCACCUCAUAAGCCACCAAUUCAUAAGCCUCCUACUUUGGAAGUGGAGAAGUCAGUUGAAUUGGAUGACAAACCUUGCAAUUGGAUGACAAACCGCCGAUUUCUAUUGAUUAGGGGUGGGUUCGGUUUAAAUCGGUUCGGUUUUUUGUCAAAACCGAAACCAAACCGAAAUUUCGAUUCGGUUCAUUUUUUUUUCGGUUUUUUCCGGUUCGGUUUUUUCCAGUUCGGUUUCAGUUCGGUUUCGGUUUUUUGUUUUUUAUUUUUUCAAAAUGAAAAACAUUGAAAUUUUAAAUUUUAACAUAUCCAACACAAUCAUAACAUAAGCAUUCUAACUAGAAUCAAAGACAAUGAAAAUAAACAUUUAAAGUUGAACUAAAAUCAUCAAUCAAGUCUUCCAAAGUCCAAACUAACAACCUCACAACACAAAAAUCGUACAAAUGACUUAGAAAAGUUUCAUUGUAUGAUGUUGUUCAAAGAUCAGGGUUGUUUGCUUGAAAUUGCAUGUUGACAACUUGAUUAGUAAAAGUAAUGCAUGGGUGGAUUUAUUUAGUGUGUGUUGGAUUCUUUUCCAUCACAAAUUACCCAAGUAAUCUACCCAAAAUAAAUGUUUAUGGAUUCUGUUACAUGUUAUAUGAGAGUAGAUUUGGAAAAGAAAGCUGGGGCAGAAGUAGACAGUGCUAUGGAGAUGGAUGUAGGUACUUCAGGAGGAGGUAGAAAUAAUGGGUUAGGGUUUAGAGUUUUUAUAGGCCUUUUUUUAAUAUUUUGAGCUUAAAGUUUGGCAACACAUUGGGUUUAGCAUAUUUUAACUUACAAAUUGGGUUUAGAAAAUAAUACCCAAAACAAAUAAUUAAAUAAAAAAAUUAAUUUAAUUAAUUCGGUUCGGUUUGGUUUUUAGAUCACUAAAACCGAACCAAAACAAAAGAAUUCGGUUCGGUUCGGUUCGGUUUUUUCAAUUCGGUUUGGUUUUUUCGUUCGGUUUGGUUUUUUCGGUUUCGGUUCGAUUUGGUUUUCGGUUUUUUUCGGUUUUCGGUUUUUGAACCCACCCCUACUAUUGAUCGUGAGCCUUUAGAGGACUUGUACAAGCAGCCAACGGAGAAGAAACCACCACAAAAUCUCUACAAGCCACCCCCACAAGCCUCCUUCACCCAAUUAAUUACUGCAUGCAUGCAUGCUAACCUAGCUAUGUUAAUACAUAUGAACAUGUAUAAAAAUAAGAGCUGCAAGUGAUGCAAUAUUAUGCUUUUAUAAGCUUUACUUUAAUAGCAUUACUAUUAAUCUACUAUACUACCCAGGACCAGUCUUGAAUUUUUUGGUGACCAGCGCAAAACCUCAAAAUGUGCCUUUUUUUAAUACGGAAACAUAUGUUUAAAAAAAAAAUAUUAACGAGGGCUGGAACACGGUCGAAGCUUGGGGAGGGGGGGCUAGGCUCUCACGCCCAAAUUAUAUUACUUGAGAAAAUAUACAAUGGGGGCCCAGGGGGGACAUAGUACCUAAACCCUGACAAUCAAAAGUACAAUCAUAUACAACCACUCCUAACAAAGCUUCUUGAAAUUUCAACCUUUAAAAAAUUGUCUUUUGGCAUUUUCCUCUAAAUCACCACUAUUUUCAUGGUCAUGAGACUUGCAGUUGCCAACUCAGGAAACAAUAAAUCACUCACUUGCAGCCAAUGGAAUUGGGAGAAAGGAAAAGGGAGUGAAGGACGACAGGGCAGUGGGGGGAGUAAGGUGGAGAAUUAGGAAAAGGGUGGAUGUAUUUGGAAGUUAGAGUUAAUUGGGGAUCGAGUGGUUCCUGUUAUGUUUUAUUUUUUAUUUUUAUUUGUAAUGCCCAAAACCUGGGCCCUUUUUUCAUCUUUUGUCAAACUUGGGCUCUUCCCCUCCAGCCCCUAUUUGGGCUUUGGACAUUUUUUUAAGGUGCCCCUUUCAAUUUUGGGUCCUGGACAAUUGCUCUGGUGGCAUUGGGUUUGGGCCGGGCCUGAUACUACCACUACUAGUAGCUUACUAGUGUUCAUGCUCGUUUUCUAUUAGUAAGGCCUGGUUUGGGGUUUCCCAUACCAACUUUAUAUGUACUCAGUUUCAAGUAGCUUUUAAUAAAAGGAAAACUAAUGAAAAGUUCAAAAAAACUUCUCUUUUAACGUAAAGCCCUUUUUAAAGGUCUAGUGAAUAGUGUCAGUUAAAGGUAAAAAUGUAAUUUUUUGUUAAAAGUGAACAGUACCAGGAGUGUUUUGUUAAAACUCUUUUUAAUAAAUGCAUAUGUUGUUGAGAGUGUUAAUCUUAUGUAGAAAAUUGUUUCAGUUAGUUUUAUGGUAGCUGUUCAAACUCUAAUAUAGUAUUAAAUCCUCUUUCAAUCAUUACCAAACAGUUUUGGAUUAAUUGGACGCGAUAAUAAUACUUCCUAGAGACUAUAACCUUAAAGAUUUAUCGUUAAGGUAAACUAUUUAAUAUUUCGAUUAGUAAUGCUAUUCAUAUCAUAUUUUUAUACCACAUUUAUAUACUACCUUAGGUGAUAUCUGAUGUAGACAACCACAUCAUUUGAAAAAUUUGCAAAACUCAAGCAAAUGAAUAAGAAAGACUCUUCGUAUACCACAAUCAUCAUUUAAUUAGCUAGUUUUUCUUAAUUAUUAGUUUAUUAAAUAAUGAACCAAAUUUAAAAAUCUGAUUAAUUCAAAUGAUGUGGUUGUCCACAUCAAAUGCCACCUAAGAUGGUAUGAAAAUAUAGUACAAAAACAUAGUAUGAAUAACAUUACUCUAUUUUGUUCAAAUAUGAACUAAUACUGGUAAAUCUUCCUUGAGCAAGACUUGAGAUUGACCAAUGAAAAUUAAGCGUGCCAAUAAAGAACGGAUUUCCGCUCCGUUGUUGCCAAUAAGCAAGUUGAGAUUCUAUUUGGCGAUCCAUGUGGAAGACUUUUGUUAGUGAUAAUUUUUCAUGAUUCGACUAAUUAGAGAAUAAGAGAUUAUAUUCAUGUACUCUAAAUUACUUUUUCCUCCCUUUUUAAUUUUUUAGUACUUUUAUAUCAAGUGUUAGUGAUGUGCCAAAAAUAUAUUAAAAAAAUAAAAAGAUAUGAAGAAGUAAUUUAUGAUAUAUGAAUAUAAUCUCUCAAUUAAAUUUGAAACCGAACUAACCAAACACAUUUCAAUUCCGGUUUUUAUGGGGGUUGGGGGAUGAGCUAGAAUUGAGUUCCAUUGCUUUCGAUAUAUAGGCCCAUGAUCAUUGUGCUUUAAGCCCAGAAAAUACUGCCCAUGUUAUUCCAAUGCCACCAUGCCAAUCAACUGUGAAACUUUUUUUAUUUUUUAUUUUUUAUACAACAAUGUAUUUACAUUGAGAGGUGGAGGAAUAAACUGGAAUUAAACUCUCAUCUUCGAGUAUCUAACCUAAGUAAACUUGCAACUAAUAUUUAAUUUAAUUAAUUAAUCAUAUCCUCUAAUUUUUUUUCUAAAUAAAAAUGUUGUACAAUUUGUGGAAACUUCGAAAUAUGUUGUACUCAUAAAUUAAUUAGGAAUGUGAUUGAGUAAAUUCUUAUGGGAUUCUAGAGUAUCUUUUAGAUAGUGUCCUAGUUGUAAUGUAUUAUUUGAAAGGCUAGGAUUCUGCCUUCCUUACUACUAUAAGUAAAAGUACAAUGAAAUGAGCUAACACACACACACUACGGAAUUCAUCAAUUAUCUUUUCUCUCUCUUGUCACCGACCUAGCUUUCUCUAUAAUUCCUCAGUAAAGUAGGCCUGCAACAAAAUCAACAUAAUAAGUUAGGGUCUGUUUGGUAUCAUAUUUGAAAUUUUUUAUCAUUUCUCAAAACAUUUUUAAGAACAUUUCUUGAAAACAAUUUUCUUUAAGACUAAAAAACUUGAUUGGUUUGCGAUUUAAAAUUUUUAAAACUUACGACUUAAACUAGACAAAAUGAUCUAAAAAGAAGGGGUCGCAGGAGGGAGAAAGAGGAGAGAGGAGGAAAGAAAGUAAGAGAUGAUUGAAGGAAAGAGAAAUAAGAGAGAUGAUCGGAGGAGAUAAAGAGAAAGAGGAGUGAGAGAAAGAACCGAGAUAAUGAAGAGAGUGGAUUGAAGGAGAGACGAAAAAGGUAAAAAAAAAAGAAGGGAGAAAGAAGAAAAGAGAGAGAUAGAUUUGGAGUGAGAGGGGAUGAGGGAAAGAAAAGAAAUGAGUGAUUUUAAGUUUAAAAACUCUAAAACUCACUUUUUAUGUUUUUAGAUAAUAGACUAUAUUUUUGAGUUAGUCUUGAAUUCAGUUUUUGAAAAUAGUCCUACCUAAAAAGUUUUUAAGGCAUAAAACUUGAAAAAUAUUUUUGAGUCCAAUAGGUUGGAUUCAAAUAAAGUACCAAACAAGCCCUUAAUUUUUCAGAAUAGAAAACCUCAAAUAUCGGAAAUUGUUAAACAUAUUUGUUGACACGCCCCGAUCCAAGAAUCAAGGCGUGCUGGCCGUCACAUGAGCGUGACGUAACCAAAAGUGUGAUGCGGAAGCAAAAGAUAUGAGAA